rnacentral:tRNA from 1 species
GCGCCAGUCAUCUAGCCAGGUAGGAUACAAGCUUCCCAAGCUUGGUGCCCGGGUUCAAAUCCCGGCUGGCGCA